rnacentral:snRNA from 1 species
GGAUGUGAGAUCAAUCUGGAUGGGACAUCAGUCACACCACUGAUUGCCAGGGUUGAUCGGGCUGAUCUGGCUGGCCAGGCCGGUGUCCCCUUCCUCCCUCACUUCCAUGUGUCCCUCCUGAAGCUGAAGCUGUGUACUCUCUCUAGAUCUAAAACCACCACAGUAGAGGAGGACCAUUUCUGGUCAAGGGUAUAGGAGUAGCUGCACUCCCCUGCUAGAACCUCCAAACAAGCUCUCAAUAUAAGUGCUUAUUAUUAUCAUCAAUACGAGUGAAGAAUAUUUCCAUUUUAACAGUAAAUUACUUGGACAGCCCAUU